GACAGAGGAUGCAAGCGUUAUCCGGAAUCACUGGGCGUAAAGGGAGCGUAGGCGGCGCGGUAAGUCAGAUGUGAAAUCCCGGGGCUCAACCCCGGAACUGCAUCCGAUACUGCCGUGCUAGAGGAUUGGAGAGGUAGCUGGAAUUCUUGGUGUAGCAGUGAAAUGCGUGGAGAUCAAGAGGAACACUCGUGGCGAAAGCGAGCUACUGGACAAUAUCUGACGCUGAGGCUCGAAGGCCAGGGUAGCGAAAGGG
rnacentral:rRNA from 1 species